AGAGAUUUAGGAUAACACAAAGACCAAUAGCCUUCAAAGCUUUUAGUGAAAGUGAAAAUCUUUCAGUUUCUA
rnacentral:tRNA from 1 species